GGUUUAUACUGUUGUUUAUGAUGCGUUUCUCUAUUUGCUUGCCACUAUUCAGUACACCUAGCAGUGAAGGGUGAUUGAGCAGUUGUCAGAACAGAAAAUGUGUACUCACUCCUGUGGAACAGGUGUUUUAUAAAACAAUAUGCCUAGUAUCAUUGCCACAGAGUGUUGGUACACCAGUCUUUAAUCAAACUCCUGUCAAGACGUUAUUUGUUUUGACAGCCAUCGGUUUGGUCCAACUCUGGUUGUGUAUACUUAUACUACAUUACUCUGGGGCCAUAUGUAUCAAACUACGAUCAGCUACACCUGUCCAUGUAAUCUGAUUCAUUGUGAUCUAAAAAGGCAAAACUGAUCCUAAAUCAGAGCUCCUACUUCGAGAUGCUUGAUACAUACACGUCCUGUGCUGCCCCUCAGGGCCGCCUUGUCUAGCAGUGUUGGGUGAUGCUGCAUUUUUGCAGCCUUUGGCCUUUUCCUGGUGCACUGGAUAUGGCGGGUAUGUAACCCUCUGUCUGAGGCGGCCAGCCCAGCGCUAGCAGGGCCAGAAUAGAAUGUCUCUUUCUUUACCUUUUCAUCUUUCAAGAGGCUUAUUACGGCUGCUUACAAUGAAGUCCUCUAUUAAAGGAACAUGUCUGUACCCAAUCUAUCUGAUUGGCUAUUUUUAGAGUUUCUUAUAUAAUGACAAGUAGCACAAGUUGUCUCUUGUCUGUCAACCCCUAUAGGGGCAGACACAGGUGUCUGCGCAGGAUCCUUAAUGUCUUAUAACUGGACCCUACUGGAGUGCAGUAACAGGAGCUCAAACUCGGUAACUGUGUUUGACAUGCAGCCCGGUUGUGUCGUUGAAGGGACCUUGCCCGUGAGUCUUGGUUGAGUUGUGAAUGGAGACAAGUCCUGUUGGUGGAAAUCUAUGGAGACGUCUCGUCUCGAGCCGCUGGGGAGAUUGAUGCAUUAGAAGAGCGAGCAAAGAGCAGGCAUGUUGAUGCAGGAGAAUGUUGGGAAUGCUGAUGUGCACCAGCAGCACAAGGCUGUGAUAACCCAAUGGGGGAGGAGGAGGGGAGGUAUGUGUCUCUCAACAUUCAUCCAUCCUGUUCUGAUACUGAGGGAAGGGGUUGGCCGGAGGGGGAGGGUCUGUCAUAGCUACAUUUAAUGUGUAUGCAUAUGUGUGUGUGUAUGUGGAGUCAUGUUACCCCCGCUGUGCGUUGCUUCACAGUCGUUCUUCACUGGCUAGCUUUAUGUCUCCCUCCCCGCCGUAAAGCUGCCAGUUGAAGAGCUGUUGUGGGUAACUAUGACUACAGAACUCUGCAGAUGGGGAUGUUAAGACAUGAUUCAAUCUAAUUCAGGGCCCCUGAUACCCCUCAGGUCAAGGACAAAUCUACAGUUUUAUACAGAGCAAUCACUGAAUGGAAUUCUUUACUAACUCACAUUUUUCAGGCCAAAAGUAAAUCCACCUUCAAGAAAACAAUAAAAGUACAUCUAAUGUGAUCGACCGUAUUACUGGACAGAGACUAGAGAGCAUCUACUGAAUAUAAAAUGUAUUACCUGUCAGGUAUUUUAAUUGUAUGUAAUGUCUAAUUGUUAAAUGUUUAUAAUGUCUUAAUGACAAUUGCAAUUGUUUGUAAUGUAUUUUUAGUUCUGUGUUGGACCCCAGGAAGAUUAGCUGACGUUAUGCCGUCAACUAAUGGGGAUCCCAGAGUCAAAUUGAGGGUUGAUCGAUGAGGACAUGUUUUUGCCUGAGGAGUGGGUCAAACAAUGUGUACUAGCACUGGAUCAAAACAGAGGGUUAUUGAAGUAGUUUACAAAUGAUGAAUCAUAAUUGUUACUGCAGGAGAAUGCAAAAUCAUUUAGUUUAACGAUUUUGUUUGGACAGUUCUUGCAUUCUCGCAGACUAGGGCCACAACCUCGAGUUUCCAAGUAUUGACUGCACUGCGGCUUUAUGGGUAACAAAUAAAACAGACAUUGGAGCUGACAGCCUUCAGCAGGACUCCACUUCUUAUUUAUCACCUACACAUUCUCCAGAAGGGCCACACUUUAGUCCAGAAUCCAGUUCUGUAUGUAUGCACACUGCCAGUCCCAAUUCACCCCUUCCUCUUGGACUCUAACCCGCUAAUGUUUGCAGAUAUGUAAGGUGGAAGCAAUAUGGUGGAAGCUCCACCACUACACUGCUUAUACCUAUCCAUAUACUACAGAUCUGCUAACGUUAAAGGGUUAGGUCCAACGGGGAGGGGUAGGGAGCGAAUUGGGGCCAGCUGACCCAGUUGGCGUGUGUUGUCGAUGUUACGGACUACCUGUCUGCUGAGAUCUCCACCCUCAAGCAGAAGAAGUUCAACAUGGUGACGUUCGCGGACAUCCCGGGCCUGUUGAACCGGGACAGGCCUCCCUUUGAUGUCAACUGCGCUAUCACCUCAUUUGGGGAGCAGGCAGACCUGGUUUUGUGUUCUUUGACCCCAUGGGCCGGGCGCCGUGCAAGCGCACGCUCAACAUCAUGAAGAAACUUAGCGAUAAGAUUGCGUACAAGCUGCGAUUCUACCUCAGCAAGGCAGACGAAGCCGGGAGGGAGCUGGACAGACAGAAUCACCACAACAAUUGGCGAUGAGGAUGGGACGCUAACUCCGCUUACUGAUCGUUCCUGAGGAGACCGAGGUUAACUGCGCACAGGGGCUACAGUAGACGCGGCUCAGGGUAACCACAUUCAGAUUAAGCGCAGCAGAAAGGGACCUGCCUCCGACUGGCAGGGAGCGUCAGUGAGUGGAUACAGUGGUUCCUCCUUUAAAAGUUGCAAACUUAUACCGCGGGACUUAGAGGUACCCAUCAUCAUGGCGUCAUUGCUCCAGACCACCACAAGGGGGAGUUACAGCACUCAUUAUGCAUUUGGGUCCCAAGGUUUUUAUAUGAUAUAGAUAUAGAGUGGUUUCAAUGACGAAUUUGACGCGAGCUACCCGUCCCUGGUGACUUUCUUCAGCAAAGAAGGCUAACAUAACAUUACGGGGGAAGCAAAUUUAAGUAAUUGUAACAUCAUAACCAGUCAAGCAAAAAAAUUUACAAUUGAGAGGAAUAUUUUAGUUAAUGUAGAGACAAACGACUGUGCAUAUUUUUUUGUCAUAAAGUUAAUUUACAAAAAUCGCUAUUUAGCAAGUUAGCUGACUAGCUAACAUUAGCCAGCUAGUUAGCUGGUGUUAUGACAUGAGUAUGACAUUCUAAUUCGUGUUGUUUAAUGUUUUAGGGACUCCUGAGAAAACCCGCAAACCAGGCUGUCAUCAUGAGACACAGUGGAAAGAAUCCAGCUAGCUAAAGCAUUUACUGCAAAUUGAAUGUACAAUUGUGUAAGCUUGCCUUGCCGUGCAAUGCAGCGGAAGUAACAUAGCUAGCUAACUAUUUAACGGUAACUAACUCACUUUUGUACAUCGCACUGGUCCGUGCAAUUGACCUUACUUUAGCACCCAAAAAACGUAAUACUUCCAGAUCAACUGUAAUAUCAAUACCAUUGUAAAGCACAAUUUCUCCCCUCUUUAACAAACCAAUGAUGAGACCUUCAUGAUGCCCAUCUCUGCAUGAUUCAAGAAGGCAAUGAGCUCCGUCGGGUCUUUUUAAAAAUGGCAGGUGGGGAAGCGAAACCUACUGCAUAAAGGGGAAACAUAUUUUUUCACCUGUCCAACUUAUCACCUUAUCACCUCUAAAAUGAAAAUAAAACACUGUAAAGAGUUUAUAUAACUUGUUAUUCCAUACCUAUUUGUAGGUUUGUGUCGAAUUUGAAUUGGGUUUUUAGGUCGGCGCUAAAGUUAUCUUCAGAAGUAAACAGCGGCUUUUGAGAGUCAUGAUGGCUUGCAGUUAUGACGCAAAAAAUGACUAGGUAAUGUUAUCCCCCUUACCCUGUCCUUUUCUUAUUUUUAAGCGGUGAGAUAAGCGCUACACCUGGUGGAGAGGCUGUAAGACACAGAAUUAGUUGGUUUACGUGUGCUGUACGUUACGUCAUGACACGACACAAUUUAAAGUACAGCGUUGGAGUGGUCCGUUUUUUCAACUUUCACUCCAAUACCAUUGAUCCAUUACCAUGUCAAUCAACACAUGAAUAGAAACGUAGUUCACAUCCCAGAUUUUGAUGUCAACACAGUUGCUGCAGUCCCAUUAGUUUUCAUUGCAGCCUCGUUUGAAUGUCGUGGUUGCUCAAAUUUGUACGGAAUGGGGUUAGUCACCAUUACUUGCUUAUUGUGUAGUGGAGGAUAAGAAUAACUGUAUGCCUAUGGAUGUGUAGCUAGCUACAGUAUGUAGCCGAUCUGUGUAUGGUCCCUAAAAUGUUAGGUUCUGAACUAAUAUUCAUACCAAUCUAUGAACCUCAGCUAUCAUAGUUGUUGCAUCAACUUCAAGUCUGAAUGGCAUUAAUGAAGCCUAUGGAUUGAGUAGAAUAUAAUAACUUUAUUGUGCCAAGGAUGCAAGUCCUAUAUACAUGUACUGUAGUUAUUACCACGCAUGAGAUCCCAACAUUGAAGCCUGUACAUUGAAUAUAUUCACUGAUCAUGUACUCUUCCUUGGCAAUUAAAGGUGCAGUUCAGGUAUGAAUCUCUGUGAGACAUUCUUUUUCAGUCAUAUCCAAUACCAGGUGUAUCAAACUCCAUUCAUUGAAUGAUGCUCUGUCUGCAUGUAUGUACUACAAUUAUACACUUCAACAGUGUUUACCACUUCUGCACCUGGGGCAUCAAUGAUUACCCAUUGUAGCUAUGCAAUAGAGAAGAAACGUGAUUUAAGUAAAGGCUGAUUUGUAAUUCAUAUAUACAGAAAUACACCUAUUCAUAUCUAACUCCCUUCAUCUGCAUUAAUCUGAUGACACAGGAUAGGUGUAGUAUUCCAAUGAGAUACUUAAUUUCAACCAGUGGAGAAUGUGAAAUGCUUUAUUGAAAGUUCAUUAUCUAAGUUCAAGCUAUACUUCAAUGCACAUAUGGUGUGCGUUAUAAAAAAGGGGAAGAAAUAGGAGGUGGGGAGAGAGGUGUAGAAGACAGGAAACAAAAGAGGUAAAACAGAGGAGCAGGGAAGACAGCAUAUGAUGAAUGAAUUACAGUGCUACCCUAAUAUUCUCUCAGUUCAUCUCAAUUACAUAGUGUCUCUUGCGGUGUCUCCUAACCAGCCUUGGGCUCCCAGUCGGCCCAAAGGUUAUCUUAAGAGCGGGUGAGGUGGCAAUGACGGGACUGGCUUCCUCUCUCACAUCAAAACAUA